GGAAGCGUGCCUGACCGCCCAAGGAGUACUUUGAUAGAGUACCUUAAAGGGGUUAAACUCCCCUCACUUCC
rnacentral:tRNA from 1 species